rnacentral:rRNA from 1 species
UACGGAGGAUGCGAGCGUUAUCCGGAUUCAUUGGGUUUAAAGGGUGCGCAGGCGGGCCUUUAAGCCGGCGGUGAAAUCGCGGGGCUCAACCCCGCCGAGCCGUCGGAACUGGGGGCCUUGAGUGCGCGAAGGGUAGGCGGAAUGCGUGGUGUAGCGGUGAAAUGCAUAGAUAUCACGCAGAACUCCGAUUGCGAAGGCAGCAUACCGGCGCCCGACUGACGCUGAGGCACGAAAGCGUGGGGAUCGAACAGG